GACAGACACAGGGAGGGGAACACGUUUUAAAGGCAAAAUGUCAAAAUGAACUUAAAGAAUACGCGCAGUCAGGACGCGAGAGUGAGCUCUGUUGUGUAUUUGGGACGGUGACAGGUGGGCACGCUCAGUGCUGCUAUUGGGCCAGGACACACUAGAACAAUGUGUUACAGGGAUUCAUUUGAUGGAGUGAGUCCUGGCCACAGACGCCACUGGGUACACUGGGGAACUGUCUGUCUUCACCCGACAGUGAUGAGUACAUGCGCCGCAUUGUUCAACAGUUAAUGUAUUGUGAUUUUGAGUAAUCUUCAUGUUUGCACUUAUUUCAUAUGCAUCGACUCUCUUUUCGGUUUUAACCAUCUGAGGUGCUUUGAGGUGAGCUCAAUUUUUUAAAUAAAAAAACAAACAUUUUCAGGAAGUUUAUAAAGUUUACCUUUAUGAUCCCAUUGUGUACUUAAUACUCAAUCAUCUGAAUCCCUACGAAAAGGUUGAGAUAUAUAACAUAAUAUUGACAUAAUUAUGAUAAUGCAAAUACAUUAGAAAAAUGUAUGCUUAUUAAUCGUGCAAAAUACACAGGUCAGGACAGUCAAUAGGACAAAGUAAAAAAGAGAGUUUUUAGUCUCCUCUACUUGUAUGCUAAUUCAACUGCACCAUGUUUUAAACCCUUAAUAUUAUAUUUAUCUUAUGAAAUAAAAUACAAAAAAUAACUGUUUAAGUGUUCUCUGCUGCAAUAACUCUCUGCUCACUGGUUCCAUCUUCUGGUCAACCAGGGGAAUUACAUACCAACCGACAGGUGAAACCUAGUACAUCUGAAGACGGUCGGCCAAUACCACCUCCAUAUUUCACAGAUGAUGCGGAGGUGCUUUUGAGCAUGGGUUGUUCUUUCCUUUCUACACACUUUCAGCUUUUUGUCAUUUCGGUAAAGGUUUAUUUUGGUCUCAUCUGUCCACACAACUUCCAGAGCUCUUCCGGUUCAUAUCAGUCUGCUUUGGUGAAUUCUAAACUGGCCUUCAGAGUCUUCCUGCUGGUGAGAGGUGGUGGAACUCAAAUGGUGACUAACGGUAUUUUCACCCCUGUCCCCUGGAGACUGCUGGUCACUUAUCAUUGUUUUAGGGUUUCUCUUCACAGUUCUUAGGAUUUCUUCAGUCAUCAACUGCAGUUGUUUUCCUUGGCGGACCAAUUUGGUUAAUUAGUGGAUUGAGUAACCAAGGGGGCAAUUAGUUUUUCACAUUGGUGAUAUGGGUGUUCGAUAACUUUAAAAUGUUUAAUAACUUUAAUAACUUGAUAACCUUAAUGAACUUUUAUUUUAUUUUUUUUGUUCUGUGUUUAUUCAACUUUCCUUUGUUAGGAAUGGCAUUUUGUCUAAAGAUAUGAAUCUGUUCAAUGUGACAAAUAAGCAAUAAUAUAGGAAAUCAGAAGGAGCAAAUACUUUUUCACAGCACUGUAGGUUUCUAUGUUGAACAGUGGCCCUAGGCUGGCGGUCCUGGAUAUUCAAAGAAAAUCCUUCUCAUGAACAGUUCCUUCUUCUGUUACGACUGUGAGGUGGGGGCUAUAAGGUUGCAGGUUAAAGUCCCGGAGGAACACUUCUAUUGUGCUCUCGAACAAGGCCUCUACCGCCCAAAGGGGGUUUCAUACUCAACUGCCAUGUCAUGAAAAGAUAUCAUUCAGACAUUCAGAUCAAGGGAUAAGAUUUCACAGCGUUGGGACAAGUUAGCAGAUUUUUUUAAACAUUUAGAAAAAAAUACUAAAGAAAAUGAAUUUUUUCCUAUUUCAUUUUAAUAUAAAGGAUAGCAUGCACUGACACACAGUAAAUGUUAGUAAGUCAGGGACAACCGGUAGCUCUGGAAAAAAAGACGGUGCAGAUGGAAAAGCAGAGGAUUAUGGGAUACCAAGUCAAUAAGGUUUGAAUUUCCUCUGUGCUCUCAGCACUGCAAUCCUCUGUUUAUCUUCCUCAAACUUUUUCCUAAGCUCAGCAAUGUCUGAAAAGGAGAAUGACAAAGUAUUAAUACCGCAUACACCCUUACAUACCUUCGGCUUACUGAAAAAGUGACAUAUGCAGGUAUAGUAUAUGCAGUAUACAGUAUGCAGUCUGCACCUUAACAUUAAACUUUUUUUUUUUUUUUCAAUAUUUGUUGCAGGAGAAAAGUUCAUAAAAGUAAAUUAUUUCAUGCCCUUAGUCUCAUUUCUUACAUCAUCUGCAAACUGCAACUGAUGGGGUGUUACUCCACCAUCUAUAUGUCAGUUUCACAUGAAAGUUACAACUAUACUGGUAACUCACGCUCUCUUUGUGUGUUUCGGUGCUGCCAGGUGUAGAAGUUAAGCAGCUCCUUCCUCUUCUUCUUCCUGCUUUCCCUCUGCAGAGCUUUCUGGUUGGCUGCCUCGCUGUGAGGGCGGGCCUUGCUCCCUCGCGCGCCCCUUGUGACCUUCACCCAACCCUCCUCGUCCUCCUCCUGCUGCUUCUCUGCUUCUUUCUUCUUUUGUUCUGACUCCUGGUCCAAAGACAGUGGUCAACACAUUAAACGAGUGGUGUGUAUAACCAUCUACAUUGAAGUUCAACUUCACAGCCAUAUUCGUGCCAUUUAUUUGCAUACAGUUGUAACUUUCAAAGCCCAUUUGAACGGAAGAAUUUUCAGUGGAGCAACUGAGUAUACACACAUACACACACGAAAGACAGGGAAAAGAAAAUUGCGCAUAAAUAUGUGAAUGCUCAACCGCAGAAAAUCCAGGGCUGAAAAUUAUAGAAAAUUAUAGAGGCGGAAAGACAAAAUAAAAGGCUGACCUCUU